UGGGGAAUUUUGGACAAUGGGGGAAACCCUGAUCCAGCCAUCCCGCGUGUGCGAUGAAGGCCUUCGGGUUGUAAAGCACUUUUGGCAGGAAAGAAACGUCAUGGGUUAAUACCCCGUGAAACUGACGGUACCUGCAGAAUAAGCACCGGCUAACUACGUGCCAGCAGCCGCGGUAAUACGUAGGGUGCAAGCGUUAAUCGGAAUUACUGGUCGUAAAGCGUGCGCAGGCGGUUCGGAAAGAAAGAUGUGAAAUCCCAGAGCUCAACUUUGGAACUGCAUUUUUAACUACCGGGCUAGAGUGUGUCAGAGGGAGGUGGAAUUCCGCGUGUAGCAGUGAUAUGCGUAGAUAUGCGGAGGAACACCGAGGGCGAAGGCAGCCUCCUGGGAUAACACUGACGCUCAUGCACGAAAGCGUGGGGAGCAAACAGG
rnacentral:rRNA from 1 species